rnacentral:piRNA from 1 species
CUGCAGUCAAGUCAAAUUCAGUUCCCGUCU